rnacentral:sRNA from 1 species
UUGAUUCUUAAUGAUGCAGCUCCACCCC